AAAAAGUCUAAUUUUUUUACUAUAAGCUUCAUUCAUGAAAAACGUAAUGAUACACCUAUAGACCAAAAAUACAUAAUGCAACAUGACUUCUCUACAAGUUUUCUCUGUUUGUACUGUCCACUCUUUGCUUCACACAACUAUGCAAACCACUGAUUAAAUGGUACACCAAACACACCAAAAAAGGGAAGAAAACAAAACUCGAACCACACACUUUUGAAACCGCGACGAGUUGAGCAUACAACAAGCAUAGUAACGCGAAACUUUUAAGAGAAGAACCACAUCUUGAUGAAGAUUGUCAAAGCUGCUUGCAGAGCAAAAGAAGCAACCAGUAUCAUCAUGAGAUCAUCUGACUGUACAUAUGUUCUGAGGUUCAACGCAACGAAACUAGCUGAUGUUGUGGCAGCAGCAAUUGUGAUGGUCCACCUAAGGAACUCGACGGGGAUGAUCAACAGAAAGGAGCUCAGAACUAAAACAAAGAGUGAAUAUCCCCACAAGCACCAGAAGCGUAUCAGGCUAGCACUUAUACCCAUAUACCGAAUCAAGAAGUAAAACCCCAAUGGCACUAGCAAUGCAUAACCAUAUACUGAGCAGGCUGCCACAUUCACAUAAUUGACAUCAAAGUUCCAAGAACUAUUGCUAUCGCUCUGCAUCAGGUAUGUGGCACAGUUCCCGAUGGAAGAAAGGACAAACACUAAAGUAGUAGAUAUCCAGACAAGCCCGUAAAGGUCAGGGUUAGCAUCAAUCUUGCUGAAGAAAUCUCCAGUAGUAGGGUUCAAUGAACUCAUCAAUCUGUUCAAGACAAGGUCUGUAUCCACGUUAAAAUAUUCUGUAUAAGAUGACACGCUAAAUACUCCAUUCCACCUGUUUGUUGAUUGCUGCCCAUCUCCUUCACCUCCAAGAGUUUGAUACCCUCUUCCUGCAUUUGGACCAUUAUUUGGAGGAAGUAUGGGAGAAUUUGCUGCAGGGGCUUGUGGUUUAUAGCUGUUCUUUUCUUCAGUGAGAACUGCCGGCACUGAGCCAACAAGGUGACUCGUCGGGAAAUUGGUG
rnacentral:misc_RNA from 1 species